rnacentral:lncRNA from 15 species
AAUUUCCAAGCUUUUUUUGGUUCUUGUCCUGUCCUGUCAGUCACUAAUUAACUCACUGACUCACUCUCUCUCUCUCUCUCCUCUCUCUCUCUCUGUCUAUGUAGUGCGGUCCUCGGCAAGGGGGCGGGAGCGGCGCAGUCUCCCGAUGUGUCGAGUCUUGUGGAGGCUGUCCUGCUGGACCUCAGCAUCCUCCACUGCAGCGAGGGCAGGAAGAUUGCCGGGGUCUGGAUUCCUCGCUGGGGUGCCGUCAUGAGGGACUAUCUAACAAUUCGCGAGAAUGUUUAUAGUUGUGCAGCCCUCAUGACGAGCACCCGCAUCCAGCUAUAUGAUGUCAAUCGGCGGACCCUGACGCAAUGGCACAACCAGAGGAGCAAGGCCAUGAUGAGGGACACCAUCGCCAUUGCAGUCCUGGGGCCCAGCACUCCCCAGACUGCAGCGGAGCCCCUGCCUGCCCCACCGACUGUGCUGCAGCAGCCUGAGCAGCCAGACCAGCCCCUCCAGCACCGCCUGCCCACGGACGCUUCUGGUCCUGGACCUCAUCGUCGCCAGCUCCUCCACUGCCUCCUCCUCCUCCUCAUCAGCCACCCCACAAGCCUCCAGCGCGGACGCCGUCCUGUCCACCAGCGUCAGCGCGGAGGCCGGUGACAUCCCCUCCACAGCCACAGCUGCCACUGCUCCACCAGUGCCAAGGAACACCGCCUGGAGGCGCAAGCUCCAGGAGGAGAAAGAGCGUUGUGCCGGGAGCUGGGAGAACACUUAAAACCAGCAAAGAAGGUCUCCCACUUUAACUGCAGGCGCAGUGGCCAACCGAAGACGCGGGCGUUUGGCCACAGCCGCUACAAGAAGGAGACCUUCUGCUCCCGGGCCGAGGGGAAAGGGAGAACUGUGGAGCAGUGGCUGGCAGAGGUGAAGGGGCGUGAUGGAGCAGCCCCCCCUGCCUGAGCGAACACUUCACUUUGUGUGUGUGUGUGUGUGAGUGAGUGAUGAGGCGGCUCCCCCUCUCUGAACGAACGCUUUGUGUGUGUGUGUGUGUGUGUGUGUGUGUGUGUGUGUGUGUGUGUGUGUGUGUGUGUGUGUGUGUUUGGGAGGGAGGGAUUUGUAAAUAUUGUGUAUAUAGUGUAUUUAGUUUGUCAAUUAUGUUUGCUAAAUAAAUAUUGUGUAUAUAGUUGUCUUAUAUAAGAUAUUCCUUUAUUUGUCCCACAAUGGGGAAAUUCCAAUAUAUAUCUAUAUAGUUGUAUAUUGCUGUCUUAAUUGUUUUUGUUUUAAAUAAACUUUUCUUUUUUAAACCAAUGCUUUCUCCU